CGUAGAGAUUGGUGCCUUCGGGAACUCUGAGACAGGUGCUGCAUGGCUGUCGUCAGCUCGUGUCGUGAGAUGUUGGGUUAAGUCCCGUAACGAGCGCAACCCUUGUCCUUAGUUGCCAGCAGGUAAUGGGGAAAACUCUAAGGAAACUGCCGGUGACAAACCGGAGGAAGGUGGGGACAACGUCAAGUCAUCAUGGCCCUUACGACCUGGGCUACACACGUGCUACAAUGGUCAGUACGAAGGGUUGCCCACCGACGAGGUGGAGCUAAUCCAAUAAAACUGAUCGUAGUCCGGAUUGAAGUCUGCAACUCGACUCCAUGAAGUCGGAAUCGCUAGUAAUCGUGAAUCAAAAUGUCACGGGUGAAUACGUU
rnacentral:rRNA from 1 species